UGGGGAAUUGUCGAUGCAAGGGCACNUCAGCCAACUGCCGCGUGAGUGAUGAAGGCCUUCGGGUUGUAAAGCUCUUUUGGCGGGGACGAUGAUGACGGUACCCGCAGAAUAAGCCCCGGCUAACUUCGUGCCAGCAGCCGCGGUAAGACGAAGGGGGCUAGCGUUGUUCGGAAUUACUGGGCGUAAAGCGAGUGUAGGCGGUUGCCGUAGUCAGGUGUGAAAGCCUUGAGCUCAACUCAAGAAAUGCACUUGAUACUGGGUGACUAGAGGACCGGAGAGGAUAGUGGAAUUCCCAGUGUAGUGGUGAAAUACGUAGAGAUUGGGAAGAACACCAGUGGCGAAGGCGGCUAUCUGGACGGUUACUGACGCUAAGACUCGAAAGCGUGGGGAGCAAACAGGAUUAGAUACCCUGGUAGUCCACGCCGUAAACGAUGGGUGCUAGACGUUGGCGAGCUUGCUCGUCAGUGUCGCAGCUAACGCGUUAAGCACCCCGCCUGGGGAGUACGGCCGCAAGGUUGAAACUCAAA
rnacentral:rRNA from 1 species